AUAAAAUCAAUAGUCUACACAAAUAUUUACAAAGGUCAGUCGCUAUAAAUUAUGAAAUCACUCGCGGCACGAAAUAAGUUCUGAACGGUCUCUGAUGAGGUCGUCUAUUUUACAUUAAAUUAUCAUGAAUUUAUUAUAAUUGUCCUAAUCCUUUUAUCUAUAGUAAUUAAUGAGUUUUAAAUAUAACGAUUCAUUUAAUCUCGGCUUGGGUCAUUUAAAUUUGUUUCGUUUUCAUCUCAGAUGAAAAAUGUUCAACACACUAACAUUCCGCUUGAACGAUCAACAAAGGUGUUAAUUAGCGGUCACCAUAAACAGGUCAUUUUAACUGUUAUACAAACAAGUAUGUUUACUCAGCUUUAAUCUUUUU
rnacentral:lncRNA from 1 species